rnacentral:tRNA from 1 species
AGGACAAUAGCUCAGUGGUAAAGUGCAUGCUUAGCAUGCAUAAGGUCCUGGGUUCUAUCCCCAAUACUUCCA